AAUCGUUUCCUUUGUUGUCAUUCAAAGAGUAUUACUAGUCAUUGGUGUAGCACACUGCACAGCACGCCAAUGCUUAUAUCCAUUAAAAAAAAAAAAAAAAAAAAAAAAAAAAUUGGAAUAGGUAACUCUGAGCAAAGAAGGGCAUAAAUGUCACGUUAUUAAAACAAGUUUAUGGCGUUUGUAAAUUUCUUACGUCGGAAUCUUGUGAGCAUAUCAUUCCCGACGCUGACUGCUACAUUCAUAUUUCUUGACUGGAAUCACACCAGGAAGUGGAAGCAGGCAAACAAGCAGAACUAAAAUGGCCAUAUUUGGUAUCACAACUCGCUUUGCAUGGGUUGCCCUGCCCAUGUCUGGUUUUUUCAUUGGAAAAUAUUUGGAUGACCAGGAAACACUAAGAAUGACGAACUUCAGAGAUAAAUCCGCCCUGUAUGGUGGCAAUGUAAAAGAGGGAGAUCCACCAUCCUGGCCUUGAAUUAUUAUUUAAUUUCAGUCUUUUCAUUAAGCACCAGUUAAAUUAGUUAUUCAAUCAGCUUCUUGUUUAUAACUGGUUUAUGUCAAUGAUUAAAUACUAGGUAUUGAAAAUUAUUCCUUUGUGAAACUAACAGCUGUCUGAAUAAACAGGUCUAUGUAGA